GGCAGAGACACCUGGCAUGUGCCUGCUGGCACUCCUCUCAGGACCUCAGAGACAUCAGGGCGAAUUUUGGACUAAAACGCAGUCUGUGGUAAGUGAGGCUGGUUCUCCUGCAGCAGGUGCAACUUCUGAUUCUGGUCCAGACCACCUGCCUCCAGCACCAAGGCAAAGUGCUCAAUGUAGCGCAGUGAGAGGCGGUCCUGCAGGGAGGAGAUCACAUCCUGGAAGAAGAGACACGAAAAACGAUCAGAGAUUGAAAUACAUUUCCACAAGCAAAGCAAGUGUCAAGGUCAUGUGUUGCACAGUGUACCUGUCACAUGCGUUCGUGUGUCCAUCCUGGACCUUGGCCAUCCCCUGAGAGGAGGGAGCAGCAUGGGACAGGGUCGCACUGCAAAGGCCGUUCUCUGUUUCGCAAUCAUUCACCUGCACAAUAAAAAGGAGGAGACAAGGGGGGUGCAAGCACAGAGUUGCUGGAAGGACGCUCAUUCUGUCGGAUCUUCAAGGAGGCGCCAGUGAAUAGCCGUUCAUCAGGUGUGUGUCAUUUAUGAAUGUCAGUAACUCCUCAGUGCCUCUUCUCAAGUGCAGACGAGCCAAGAUUUGACCUCACCAAGGAGGCUGUAUAAAUAUCCCCAUUGUCAAUAGCCUGCACUUUCACUUCGUCCAUUAGUCACAGAGCCUGUGUUGUAUUCCGAGUCUUAUUGUACACAUCAAGAUCAAAAAUCAAAAAACUGAAAUAUAGCUCAAAAUUGUGCAGUGCCACCAACGUCAUUGUUACACAAGCAAACAUAACUGUUACUGAAUCAGAAACAGAGGAACGUGUCCUCAUCUGUCUGUUUUCACCCUGUGGCGUGUGGAUUUACAGCUUUAAAUUCUUCACUUAAUUUAGAGUUUUGACAUUCAAAAUAAGUGGUGAGGAAGAACUGAACAGAAGGGAGAGCGAUGAAGGUAGCCGGGGGACACUGAAGCUUACACGUCUGCAAAGAUAAACAGCCAUUCAGCAGAGGGGCAGACCUUUUACUGAGAGAGGACGCCGAGGAAUUCUGUCAAGAAAUGAUCCCCAAGGGCAUCGGCAGGCCUGCCCGUUGCUAUGGCUACGCUUCUCGGUAGCUUGUUGAGGCCCGGGUGGACAGAGGGAUAGUGGGUGGAUGAGAAUAGUGAUGUGGCCGCUCUCCGAUCACCCCGCAGCCACUGUGGCCAGAUGCCAACAUUUCCUCGGGCACCAGAGGUCAGGGCAUCACAUACCUGCGCUCCUCCAGUGUCCCAGCAUGCAGCAGCUCACCAGGCCUCAGGGUCCGCGAAGAAUGACCUUUCACUUAUUAUCCUCCCAGGCCUGAAUUAUAUCAGUGCUAUCCUUAGCUCAGAGGGAUGCUGCAUUUCAUACAUCAACAUCGCUGAAUAGUUUCAGUUCCAGAGACAGUGAGGGUGCUCAGAAGUGACGGACGAUGGUUGAUCUAUUGUUAAAUCGCUUGACCAACUGACUAACUAGUCUGUCAGCCAGUCAGUCAAGCAAUUACUCAAUCUUUACACACCAUUAUAGCCAGCUUCCAGUUCUUUUGGUACAGCUACGCCAAGAGCUUAGUAUCGGUACUCAAUACCUUUUAAGGUAUUGACCGAAAUGACCUAGUACCAAGUAGUAUUGAAACUUCUCCAGUCAAACAAUACCCGCACUCGAUCCUUUUUGUGCCUACACAUAGAAAAAAUGACUGUUUGAAUGGUUUGCUUGCAGCCAGUCACUGCAGGCAUUGUU